rnacentral:misc_RNA from 1 species
AGGUUGUUAUUUGUUUGUCCAUCUCUGAGGUGUUUCAACAUCUUGGGGAAACUCAGGUUGAGGUCGGGUCUUGUUCUUUGAUUGAAGUAUUGUGUUGGUCUAUUGUAAGUCUUGGUAUUAUAUACCCAACUGUACGUUGUUUACGUAAGGCCUCUUUUUGAGGCUGUUCUUUCUUCGUGUCCUUGGUUCCAUAUAAUUCAAUUCAUUACUUAUUUGGGGAAAUUAAG